GGGGAUGUAGCUCAGUUGGCUAGAGCACGGGAUACUGAUCAACCCGAUAGGUCGAGAGUUCAAGUCUCUCCAUCUCCA
rnacentral:tRNA from 1 species